rnacentral:rRNA from 1 species
GAUGAACGCUGGCGGCGUGCCUAAUACAUGCAAGUCGAGCGAACGGACGAGAAGCUUGCUUCUCUGAUGUUAGCGGCGGACGGGUGAGUAACACGUGGAUAACCUACCUAUAAGACUGGGAUAACUUCGGGAAACCGGAGCUAAUACCGGAUGAUAUUUUGAACCGCAUGGUUCAAAAGUGAAAGACGGUCUUGCUGUCACUUAUAGAUGGAUCCGCGCUGCAUUAGCUAGUUGGUAAGGUAACGGCUUACCAAGGCAACGAUGCAUAGCCGACCUGAGAGGGUGAUCGGCCACACUGGAACUGAGACACGGUCCAGACUCCUACGGGAGGCAGCAGUGGGGAAUCUUCCGCAAUGGGCGAAAGCCUGACGGAGCAACGCCGCGUGAGUGAUGAAGGUCUUCGGAUCGUAAAACUCUGUUACUAGGGAAGAACAUAUGUGUAAGUAACUGUGCACAUCUUGACGGUACCUAAUCAGAAAGCCACGGCUAACUACGUG